UUUAACUUAGAUUUGGGUGGCGGACGGGUGAGUAACGCGUAAAGAACUUGCCUCACAGCUAGGGACAACAUUUAGAAAUGAAUGCUAAUACCUGAUAUUAUGAUUUUAAGGCAUCUUAGAAUUAUGAAAGCUAUAAGCACUGUGAGAGAGCUUUGCGUCCCAUUAGCUAGUUGGAGAGAUAACAGCUCACCAAGGCGAUGAUGGGUAGCCGGCCUGAGAGGGUGAACGGCCACAAGGGGACUGAGACACGGCCCUUACUCCUACGGGAGGCAGCAGUGGGGAAUAUUGGACAAUGGACCGAGAGUCUGAUCCAGCAAUUCUGUGUGCACGAUGAAGUUUUUCGGAAUGUAAAGUGCUUUCAGUUGGGAAGAAAAAAAUGACGGUACCAACAGAAGAAGUGACGGCUAAAUACGUGCCAGCAGCCGCGGUAAUACGUAUGUCACGAGCGUUAUCCGGAUUUAUUGGGCGUAAAGCGCGUCUAGGUGGUUAUGUAAGUCUGAUGUGAAAAUGCAGGGCUCAACUCUGUAUUGCGUUGGAAACUGUAUAACUAGAGUACUGGAGAGGUAAGCGGAACUACAAGUGUAGAGGUGAAAUUCGUAGAUAUUUGUAGGAAUGCCGAUGGGGAAGCCAGCUUACUGGACAGAUACUGACGCUA
rnacentral:rRNA from 1 species